rnacentral:rRNA from 1 species
GACGAACGCUGGCGGCGUGCUUAACACAUGCAAGUCGAACGGUAAGGCCCUUCGGGGUACACGAGUGGCGAACGGGUGAGUAACACGUGGGUGAUCUGCCCUGCACUUCGGGAUAAGCCUGGGAAACUGGGUCUAAUACCGGAUAGGACCACUGCCUGCAUGGGUGGUGGUGGAAAGCUUUUGCGGUGUGGGAUGGGACCGCGGCGUAUGAGCUUGGUGGGGGGGUGAUGGCCUACCAAGGCGACGACGGGUAGCCGGCCUGAGAGGGUGACCGGACACACUGGGACUGAGAUACGGCCCAGACUCCUACGGGAGGCAGCAGUGGGGAAUAUUGCACAAUGGGCGCAAGCCUGAUGCAGCGACGCCGCGUGAGGGAUGACGGCCUUCGGGUUGUAAACCUCUUUCAGCACCGACGAAGCGCAAGUGACGGUAGGUGCAGAAGAAGGACCGGCCAACUACGUGCCAGCCGCCGCCGUAA